AGCCACGUAGUGAGCACAAAGCGAACUAUUCUUUCGCCUUUUACUAAAGAAUACCGUGUGUUCGCUGCUUUUAAGUGGCAUACGCCUAUUUUUGGAGAGUCCCUUUUUUAUUAAAGGGC
rnacentral:snRNA from 1 species